rnacentral:lncRNA from 1 species
UCCCAGGGCUGUCCCUGAGCUGUCCCCAGCUGUCCCCAGGUGUCCCCAGCUGUCCCAGGCUGGCACCCCAGGCUGUUCUCUCCACAGGGGCUGGCUGUCCCAGGGCUGUCCCUGGGCUGUCCCCAGCUGUCCCCAGCUGUCCCAGGCUGGCACCCCAGGCUGUUCUCUCCACAGGGGCUGGCUGUCCCAGGGCUGUCCCCAGCUGUCCCUGGGCUGUCCCGGGGCUGUCCCCAGGUGUCCCCAGCUGUCCCAGGCUGGCACCCCAGGCUGUUCUCUCCGCAGGGGCUGGCUGUCCCAGGGCUGUCCCCAAGCUGUCCCCAGUUGUCCCCAGGUGUCCCCAGCUGUCCCAGGCUGGCACCCCAGGCUGUUCUCUCCGCAGGGGCUGGCUGGACGGCCGUGUUCGAGCCCGCGAGCCCCGCGCCGCCCGUGGCCAUGGACGUGGGCUCCAGCGUGUGGGACUCGGCCGCCCCACAGAGCAGCGCCCCGGAGGAGAAGGGCUGGGCCAAGUUCACAGACUUCCAGCCUUUCUGCUGCUCCGAGUCCGGGCCUCGCUGCAGCUCCCCCGCGGACCCCGAGAGCGGCGGCAGCGACAGGAGCCCGGCACAGGGCCAGGACAAGAACUGUGAGUGACACAGGGCCCCGCUGGGGCUGCUCCAGCUCUGCAGGGAGCGGCUGGGCACGGCAAGCCCCGAGCCUUCCCUGCGGCAUCGGUGCACGAAGCACAGGCAGAAACCCCCGGGGUUUGCUGGGACAGGGCAGGAGGGAUGGAGAUGAGUUGGAGCUGAUACCAACAGGGACACUCCAUUCAUCCCUGGGGGUGUCCCAGGCCAGGCUGGGUGGGCUUGGAGCACUCCAGGACAGCAGAAAUUGUCCCCACCCAUGGUGGCACCGGGUGGGCUUUGGGCUCCUUCCCAGCCAGGCCACGGUUCCCAGACCACCCGUGGUGGCUGUUGGGCCCUGCUGGUCCCCCGGGGCCGUUCCAGGGAGCGCUGCCGAGGUUCCAGCCUGGGCUGCUGCUCCCGCAGGCAGCGCUGCCGCUCCGUGUGCGUGGAACGCGUGCGGGACGCGCAAGGCGCCGCUGGGCGCCCUGGACAGCAGCUCCUCGGGCAGCUCCGACAGCGACGACGACGACGACGACAAGGCCAAGGCUGGCACGGAAAGCACGGCGCAGGAGCCCGGCAAGGACAGGGCGGCUCGCAGCAGGUGGGUGGGAAGGGAUCUCCAGGGAUGGCCCCUGGGAUGGCCCCGUGUGCUCCCAGUGUCCCCUCUCUGUGUCCCCUGGGAGAGCAGGUCCUGCCCCGGGGGUGGCACAGGGCUCUGAGGGAUGGAUUUAGCACAGGGUUAUUGCAGGGAGUGGUGGGGGCUCCUUUGGGUCACUGCAGUGUCACAGCAUCACCUCUGUCCCUGUCCUUUGGGUCACUGCAGUGUCACAGCAUCACCCCUGUCCCUGUCCUUUGGGUCACUGCA